GACGAACGCUGGCGGCGUGCUGAACACAUGCAAGUCGGGCGGUAAGGCUCCUUCGGGAGUACACGAGCGGCGAACGGGGGAGUAACACGUGAGCAAUCUGCCCUUCACACGGGGAUAACCCUCGGAAACGAGAGCUACUACCCGCUCCGACCACUUCAGGCAUCUGAUGGUGGUGGAAAGUUCGGGCGGGGAAGGAUGAGCACGCGGCCUAUCAGCUUGUUGGUGGGGUAACGGCCCACCAAGGCAACGACGGGUAGCCGGCCUGAGAGGGUGACCGGCCACACUGGGACUGAGACACGGCCCAGACUCCUACGGGAGGCAGCAGUGGGGAAUAUUGGACAAUGGGCGAAAGCCUGAUCCAGCAACGCCGCGUGAGGGAUGACGGCCUUCGGGUUGUAAACCUCUUUCAGCAGGGACGAAGCGCAAGUGACGGUACCUGCAGAAGAAGCACCGGCCAACUACGUGCCAGCCGCCGCCGUAAAAC
rnacentral:rRNA from 1 species